CUCACCCACCCACUCACUCACUCAGCCACCCACCCAUUCAUCCACCCACCAAAUCCCACCCAAAUUCCACCUCCGUACAGCGUGAAAGAAGUCCAACACGCACACACACACGCGCACACACGCACAAUCCCACUCGCCCAAUCAACACCACCGUGGCAAGAUGUAUUAUCGCCUCGGGCACCUCCCAUCGGCGUCACGUGAUGACGCACAGCAGCUGCGAUUGGUCGUUGCGAGCCUGGCGUGGGGCGGGGUGCAGAGUGGGCGGAGCUACCCAGUUAAAGUGGGCGGGGCUUGGAGGGGGGGGCGUGGUCACACUGGCCACGCCCCCCUUGUGGUGAUGGUGGUGAUGAUGGUGGUGAUGGUGAGCUGUAUGUGGUGUAAUGAAGGUGAUGAUGAUGGUGGUGGUGAUGAUGGUGGUGGUGAUGGUGGUGAUGAUGGUGGUGAGGUGUAUGUGGUGUAAUGAAGGUGAUGAUGGUGGUGAUGAUGAUGGUGGUGGUGAUGAUGGUGGUGGUGGUGGUGAUGAUGGUGGUGAUGAUGGUGAGGUGUAUGUGGUGGUGAUGAUGGUGGUGAUGAUGAUGGUGAGGUGUAUGUGGUGUAAUGAAGGUGAUGAUGGUGGUGGUGAUGGUGGUGGUGAUGGUGGUGAUGAUGAUGGUGAGCUGUAUGUGGUGUAAUGAAGGUGAUGAUGGUGGUGGUGAUGGUGGUGGUGAUGAUGGUGAGGUGUAUGUGGUGGUGAUGGUGGUGGUGAUGGUGGUGGUGAUGAUGGUGAGGUGUAUGUGGUGGUGAUGGUGGUGGUGAUGAUGGUGGUGAUGAUGAUGGUGAGCUGUAUGUGGUGUAAUGAAGGUGAUGAUGAUGAUGGUGAGCUGUAUGUGGUGUAAUGAAGGUGAUGAUGGUGGUGGUGGUGAUGGUGGUGAUGAUGGUGAGCUGUAUGUGGUGUAAUGAAGGUGAUGAUGGUGGUGGUGAAGAUGGUGGUGAUGGUGGUGAUGAUGGUGGUGAGCUGUAUGUGGUGUAAUGAUGGUGAUGAUGAGCUGUAUGUGGUGUAAUGAAGGUGAUGAUGUUUAUCUGUUCUGGGGGAUGGUAUCGACUGCCACUUUUUUUCACCGUUCGGGCCGUCAGACCGACCGCACCGAUUUCGUGUAGCGGGAUUUUUGGUUUCUUCAAUAAACCUGGCAUGACGUUUG